CAGGACGAACGCUGGCGGCGUGCUUCAUACAUGCAAGUCGAACGAUAAGGUCUCUUCGGAGAUACAUAAGUGGCGGACGGGUGAGUAAAAUGUAGAGAAUCUGCCCUAGAGAUGGGGACAACAGUUGGAAACGACUGCUAAUACCCAAUAUGAGCGUAGUUGAAAUACUAUUCUUGAAAACUCCGGUGCUCUGGGAUGAGUCUGCAUCUGAUUAGCUAGUUGGAGGUGUAAUGGACCACCAAGGCGACGAUCAGUAGCUGGUUUGAGAGGAUGAUCAGCCACAAUGGGACUGAGACACGGCCCAUACUCCUACGGGAGGCAGCAGUAGGGAAUUUUGCGCAAUGGGGGAAACCCUGACGCAAGCAACGCCGCGUGAAUGAAGAAGCCCUUCGGGGUGUAAAGUUCUGUCAGUAGGGAAGAAUAAAUGACUGUACCUACAGAGGAAGCAUCGGCUAACUCCGUGCCAGCCGCUGC
rnacentral:rRNA from 1 species